rnacentral:rRNA from 1 species
GACGAACGCUGGCGGCGUGCUUAACACAUGCAAGUCGAACGGAAAGGCCCUGCUUUUGUGGGGUGCUCGAGUGGCGAACGGGUGAGUAACACGUGAGUAACCUGCCCUUGACUUUGGGAUAACUUCAGGAAACUGGGGCUAAUACCGGAUAGGAGCUCCUGCUGCAUGGUGGGGGUUGGAAAGUUUCGGCGGUUGGGGAUGGACCCGCGGCUUAUCAGCUUGUUGGUGGGGUAGUGGCUUACCAAGGCUUUGACGGGUAGCCGGCCUGAGAGGGUGACCGGCCACAUUGGGACUGAGAUACGGCCCAGACUCCUACGGGAGGCAGCAGUGGGGAAUAUUGCACAAUGGGCGGAAGCCUGAUGCAGCAACGCCGCGUGCGGGAUGACGGCCUUCGGGUUGUAAACCGCUUUCGCCUGUGACGAAGCGUGAGUGACGGUAAUGUGUAAAGAAGCACCGGCUAACUACGUG